rnacentral:rRNA from 1 species
AUGGUAGAGAUAUCAUAGCUAGCAAUAGUCUGUAUCGAGGUGCUGCAUGGUUGUCGUCAGCUCGUGCCGUGAGGUGUCGGCUUAAGUGCCAUAACGAGCGCAACCCUUGUCGUUAGUUACCAUCAAGUAAAGUUGGGGACGUCUAGCGAGACUGCCACCGUAAGGUGUGAGGAAGGGGGGGAUGACGUCAAAUCAGCACGGCCCUUACGUCCGGGGCGACACACGUGUUACAAUGGUAGGUACAGAGGGGCGCUAUCCAGUGAUGGAGUGCGAAUCUCAAAAACCUAUCUCAGUUCGGAUUGGAGUCUGCAACUCGACUCCAUGAAGUUGGAUUCGCUAGUAAUCGCGCAUCAGCCAUGGCGCGGUGAAUACGUUCCCGGGCCUU